CACUGGUUGAGAGUUGAUACUACUCUCCUGAUGAGACCAUGGUAUGGUGAAACUAAUU
rnacentral:hammerhead_ribozyme from 15 species